UACGAAGGUCCCAAGCGUUAUCCGGAUUUAUUGGGUUUAAAGGGUGCGUAGGCGGCUUAUUAAGUCAGGGGUGAAAGCCCCAAGCUUAACUUGGGAACUGCCAUUGAUACUGAUGAGCUUGAGUAGAUUUGAGGCGGGCGGAAUGUGUCGUGUAGCGGUGAAAUGCUUAGAUAUGACACAGAACACCAAUUGCGUAGGCAGCUCGCUAAACUCUUACUGACGCUGAGGCACGAAAGCAUGGGGAUCAAACAGG
rnacentral:rRNA from 1 species